CUCGGAUCAGGUAGGGAUACCCGCUGAACUUAAGCAUAUCAAUAAGCGGAGGAAAAGAAACCAACCGGGAUUGCCUCAGUAACGGCGAGUGAAGCGGCAAGAGCUCAAAUUUGAAAGCUGGCUCCUUCGGGGUCCGCAUUGUAAUUUGCAGAGGAUGCUUCGGGUGCGGCCCCUGUCUAAGUGCCCUGGAACGGGCCGUCAGAGAGGGUGAGAAUCCCGUCUGGGAUGGGGUGUCCGCGCCCGUGUGAAGCUCCUUCGACGAGUCGAGUUGUUUGGGAAUGCAGCUCUAAAUGGGUGGUAAAUUUCAUCUAAAGCUAAAUACUGGCCGGAGACCGAUAGCGCACAAGUAGAGUGAUCGAAAGAUGAAAAGCACUUUGAAAAGAGAGUUAAAAAGCACGUGAAAUUGUUGAAAGGGAAGCGCUUGCGACCAGACUCGCCUCCAGGGUUCAGCCGGCAUUCGUGCCGGUGUACUUCCCUGGGGGCGGGCCAGCGUCGGUUUGGGCGGCCGGUCAAAGGCUCCCGGAAUGUAGUGCCCUUCGGGGCACCUUAUAGCCGGGAGUGCAAUGCGGCCAGCCUGGACCGAGGAACGCGCUUCGGCACGGACGCUGGCAUAAUGGUCGCAAACGACC
rnacentral:rRNA from 1 species